GAUGCCUGUAAAUUAUGUCCCUUUAAGAAUGAUAAGCUACAGACAAGUGCGAAAGUAAAUCCUCUUUUGCAACCCACAACUCAUUGUUCAGUAUGAGUUUUGAUACAGAUAAGAAGGAACAUG